AUGUUCCGUUUCCAGAGUUGAUCAUUGGCUUUCAUGUAAAUUAAUUUGAUCAUAGAUAAUCUAUUCCUCUUUCUAAGGUUUCAUUCAUGCUCAUUUAUUGCCCAAUUUGUGAUCUGUUGAAUUUUGGGGAGUCUAUGAUCUAGUGAUUCUUUUUGUACCAUAUAUUGUUCUUUUCGUAUUUUUAAUUUUCAGAAACAGCCUACGAAACAAGCACACGGCACUAAUUUUUCAGUUAGUUAAGACAAUUUGACAUGAUUAAUGGCUGAGUUGAGGGAAAACUAUAUUUAUUCAUUAAAUAAGUAUAUAUGUGUGAAGACUUUGACCUGGUUCUCUUGUCUUAAAGUACUAUUUCUUCAUGUUGAAGCUGGUAAAGGGUAGUUGGUGAAAGAUAUAUGAUUUAAGCUGGGUUAGGUAAGACUCUUGAAUUUGGGAAUAUUAUUUGGAUUAGUUCAGAGUACUCUUUGGUUGCAACUUAUGGUUGCAUUUUGUACAAGGAAGUUGUUUUCUUAAUGCAAUAAGAAAGAUGAUGAAAGUCUUAAAGUACUAUUUCCUUUUGUGUUUGUACUGACUAAGUAGUUAUGUGACAGGCAGGGAUUCUUUAUUCGGUUAAAGUGUUGCUUUGCUGAAUUUGUGUUAUCUGUUGAAUUUUAUUUAAUUUUAUGAAUCUUAUGUAGUUUUGUAAUUUUCAAUACAGUUAAUGGAGUCUAAUUCCAGGAUCAGUUGUGACCACGUACGUAUUAUAUGCAUCUACGUCUGAUCAGUUGUGGUCACACUUCCUAGGUUGUUUAGUUCAUGCACUUGCACUCUGCAAUGUCAGGGGGAAAUGAAACUUGUUUUAGUGCACAUCUGCGAAUCAAAUUUCUUGGUGCUUGAUGCUAUUGCUCCCCUGCCUCCCUUUAUUUUCAGCAUGGUGUCUACUUUUCCUGCAUCCUAAAGCAUAACUACCUAUGAUUACCACUCAGCAUGUUCACUUUAGGUUGUAUAGUUUGUGUAGGCAUAACUUGAUAAUAUUUCCUAGGAUGGUACCUUGAAGGUCAUGUAGUUAACAAUAAAUUAUUACCCAUCUAACUACUGUUCAAUAGGAGGCAAUGCUUGUCUUUGAUGAUCAUUUAGUGAGAAAAUGAUGUAUAUUCGACUGGCUAAAUACUAAUUGGUUUUAGUAAUUAGUAAGUCACCACAUUGAUUGUGAAAUUUAACUGGGAGUUUGAUGGAAGCUGACAUAUUUUACUUUGUUUAAAACCUUGUUGUCAAUUUUGCAUACUUUAUAUUUUGUGGCGCUAAGGAAAAAGCUAGCUUGUUCCAUUGUCAAAUGUAGUUACAAGCGCACAUGUCAUGGACAUUAUAUUGCAGCAAGGAUCAACUUGACAUGGAAGUUACUCGGUUCUCUUGUUAAAUAUGUGUUUGGAUGUGUCAGAAUAUAAUGUUUUCCGUCCAUAAUGAAGUUGUAUGAGGGUUCUUCACAUAUGUGAGAAAAAGAAAUGUCCUUCAGUAAGCUUCUCUCAUCUUUCAUUUGAGGAAAACAAAUAACAACGUCCUUUAAAUUCUGUGCUUUCUUUUCAUUAUAUAUUUUACAGUUAGCAGACUGUAUAGUUCCUUGAAUCCUGAAUAUCAACAUAUCACCAUAAUAGUCAUAACACCUAGGACAUUAAAGUUUCAUGACUGGUAAUUAUAUUGCAUUAAUUGAGCAGCGACUGGUUUCUUUUCGUCCGGUGAUUAUAUUGACGACGUGUGUGUUGUAUUUGCUUUCAAGGCUAUCUCAGACAAGAAAAUCGCCACAAUAUCAUCUGAUGGCUUUUGGGAAGAAGAAGAAAGUUUCAACUGCACAUUUAGUCAACUCAAAGUUGUGGAGGUGACUGACUUCAGCGGCAUCACAUCUGAACUUAAGCUCAUCGAGUUUGUGCUUGCUAAUUCACCUGUUCUUGGCUUUUGUGAAGAAGCAGAAGUUUGUUACUGUUGUAAUUUUUUGUGUGUAAAUAAUACUGUCUGUAAUUAGUUCUUGUGUUUGAACACCUUAGUGCAUGUAACUUUUUUGUUGAGGCCACACUUUUACAAAAAAUUGUUCAUGUUAUAAUUGCUAUAGCUGAACAGGGAAAUGCUAUCUGCAAACUUGGGUUAUGCAAAGUUAUUGAUAAAACUAUGUCUAGAGAGGUGUGCUUUAAUGAA